rnacentral:rRNA from 1 species
UACGUAGGGGGCAAGCGUUGUCCGGAUUUAUUGGGCGUAAAGAGCGUGUAGGCGGUUCGGUAGGUCCGUUGUGAAAACUCGAGGCUCAACCUCGAGACGCCGAUGGAAACCCCCGAACUAGAGUCCGGAAGAGGAGAGUGGAAUUCCUGGUGUAGCAGUGAAAUGCGCAGAUAUCAGGAAGAACACCCGUGGCUAAGGCGGCUCUCUAGUACGGUACUGACGCUGAGACGCGAAAGCGUGGGGAGCGAACAGG